CGGGGGAGCUAAAGGAAAUAUAUUGAGAAACAUUCAGCAAGAAAUCACAACUUCCUGAUCCAGGGAAGAUGGCUGGGGCUUUUUAAGCACUGAGUCUCUCCAAAAUGAUGCAAGCUGAUACUACAUCAUUUCUAAACCUUCCAAUCUACUCGUUAAAAGCAUAUAGAUUUAUAUUUAACUAAGUAUAUAUACUAAGUGGGAGCAGAGAGUUCUGGAGUAAGGGAAUAAAAGAAAUAAAAGAAAGGAAAGAAAUGUAUUUAAGGAACUGGAUCUGAGCUGUGAGCCUUAUAGGCACUAUCUCAUUUAAUGUCUAAAACAAAACUGUAAAGUAGGUAUGACUAUCUCUGAGAGAUAAACAGAGACUCGGAGAAGUUAAUUAACUUUCCAACAUUGUCGUAGCUACUAAGUGAAAGACCCAGAAUUUGAAAGCAGCUGGGCUGAUUCCACAGUUCAUGCUUUCUACUUGCUGAACUCUGCUCUCAUGCCAAAUGGCACCACCCAGAAGAUGCUGAAAAUCCAUAGGGGGAGGAUAGAUUUACAUUGAUAAGGGGGAAAAAGGUCUACUUAAAAAAGGAAACCAGCAAAUACAAGAUAGGAUACAAUAAAAUGCAACAAGGAAGGUGGUCAAGAAACAUAACGCAUGGCCAUGGACAAAAAGCAAAGAAGAGGAACAACCUGUGUUGGAUGGAGGAUCUGGGGGAAGCCAGUUGUGCUUCUUAAGGCCUCCCUGUUGAGAGACUCAUGCCAGUGAACUUGGAAGCAGAUCUCCUAAAGCCUCUCAACAGCUACAGAAAUUAACUUGAAAGGAGAUCCUCUAACCAGCUGAGGCUUGAGAUGACUGCAGCCCUGGCCAGGACCUCAGUCGCAGGCUGUGAGAGUCCUGGAGCCAAAAUCACCCAGAGAAGCUACUCCUGGAUUCCCAACACAGACCAUUGAAAUAAUAAAUGUUUAUUGCUUUAACCUCUAAGG
rnacentral:lncRNA from 10 species